rnacentral:rRNA from 1 species
UACAGAGGGUGCAAGCGUUAAUCGGAAUUACUGGGCGUAAAGCGCGCGUAGGUGGUUCGUUAAGUUGGAUGUGAAAUCCCCGGGCUCAACCUGGGAACUGCAUUCAAAACUGCUGUGCUUGAGUGUGGGAGAGGCGCGUGGAAUUGCAGGUGUAGCGGUGAAAUGCGUAGAUAUCUGCAGGAACACCCGUGGCGAAAGCGGCGCGCUGGACCACUACUGACGCUGAGGAACGAAAGCUAGGGGAGCAAACAGG